GGUAGCUUGCCCGAGUGGCCAAAGGGAGCAGACUGUAAAUCUGCCGGUUCACGCCUACAGUGGUUCAAAUCCACUAGCUACCACCA
rnacentral:tRNA from 1 species